UACGGAAGGGGUGCACGUUGCUCGGAAUCACUGGGCGUAAAGCGCACGUAGGCGGACUCUUAAGUCGGUGGUGAAAUCCUGGAGCUCAACUCCAGAACUGCCUUCGAUACUGAGAGUCUUGAGUCCGGGAGGAGGUGAGUGGAACUGCGAGUGUAGAGGUGAAAUUCGUAGAUAUUCGCAAGAACACCAGUGGCGAAGGCGGCUCACUGGCCCGGUACUGACGCUGAGGUGCGAAAGCGUGGGGAGCAAACAGG
rnacentral:rRNA from 1 species